GGGCGAUUAGCUCAGUUGGUAGAGCAUCUCCCUUACAAGGAGGGGGUCACUGGUUCGAGCUCGGUAUCGCCCACCA
rnacentral:tRNA from 1 species